rnacentral:rRNA from 1 species
UACGGAAGGCAGCAGUGGGGAAUAUUGCACAAUGGGCGAAAGCCUGAUGCAGCUAUGCCGCGUGUAUGAAGAAGGCCUUAGGGUUGUAAAGUACUUUCAUCGGGGAGGAAAAAACAAAACUAAUAAUUUUAUUUCUUGACGUUACCCGAAAAAGAAGCACCGGCUAACUCCGUGCCAGCAGCCGCGGUAAUACGGAGGGUGCUAGCGUUAAUCAGAAUUACUGGGCGUAAAGAGCACGUAGGUGGUUUUUUUAAGUCAGAUGUGAAAUCCCUGGGCUUAACCUAGGAACUGCAUUUUGAAACUGAAAUAACUAGAGUAUCGUAGAGGGAGGUAGAAUUCUAGGUGUAGCGGUGAAAUGCGUAGAUAUCUGGAGGAAUACCUGUGGCGAAAGCGGCCUCCUAAACGAAUACUGACACUGA